rnacentral:rRNA from 1 species
CCUACGGGAGGCAGCAGUGGGGAAUAUUGGACAAUGGGCGAAAGCCUGAUCCAGCAAUGCCGCGUGAGUGAUGAAGGCCUUCGGGUCGUAAAGCUCUUUUACCAGGGAUGAUAAUGACAGUACCUGGAGAAUAAGCUCCGGCUAACUCCGUGCCAGCAGCCGCGGUAAUACGGAGGGAGCUAGCGUUGUUCGGAAUUACUGGGCGUAAAGAGUACGUAGGCGGUUAUUCAAGUCAGAGGUGAAAGCCCGGGGCUCAACCCCGGAACUGCCUUUGAAACUAGAUAACUAGAGUCUUGGAGAGGUUAGUGGAAUUCCGAGUGUAGAGGUGAAAUUCGUAGAUAUUCGGAAGAACACCAGUGGCGAAGGCGACUAACUGGACAAGUACUGACGCUGAGGUACGAAAGCGUGGGGAGCAAACAGGAUUAGAUACCCUGGUAGUCCACGCCGUAAACGAUGAUAACUAGUUGUUCGGUCACUUGGUGACUGAGUGACGCAGCUAACGCAUUAAGUUAUCCGCCUGGGGAGUACGGUCGCAAGAUUAAAACUCAAAUGAAUUGACGGCUGNGAGUUGCGAGCGACACGAGGAGAGG